rnacentral:rRNA from 1 species
AUUGAACGCUGGCGGCAGGCUUAACACAUGCAAGUCGAGCGAGCGGCGGACGGGUGAGUAAUGUCUGGGAAACUGCCUGAUGGAGGGGGAUAACUACUGGAAACGGUAGCUAAUACCGCAUACCAUCAGAUGUGCCCAGAUGGGCUUAGCUGGUAGGUGGGGUAAUGGCUCACCUGGGCGACGAUCCCUAGCUGGUCUGAGAGGAUGACCAGCCAAACUGGAACGGAGACACGGUCCAGACUCCUACGGGAGGCAGCAGUGGGGAAUAUUGCACAAUGGGCGAAAGCCUGAUGCGUCCAUGCCGGGUGGGUGAAGAAGGCCUUGGAGUUGUAAAGUACUUUCAGCGAGGAGGCGUUACCCGCAGAAGAAGCACCGGCUAACUCCGUGCCAGCAGCCGCGGUAAUAC